rnacentral:rRNA from 1 species
ACAGUUGGAAACGACUGCUAAUACCGCAUGACGCAUAGAGGUCGCAUGAUCUUUAUGCCAAAGAUUUAUCGCUUCAAGAUGGCCUCGCGUCUGAUUAGCUAGUUGGCGGGGUAACGGCCCACCAAGGCGACAAUCAGUAGCCGGACUGAGAGGUUGAACGGCCACAUUGGGACUGAGAUACGGCCCAGACUCCUACGGGAGGCAGCAGUGGGGAAUAUUGGGCAAUGGGCGCAAGCCUGACCCAGCAACGCCGCGUGAAGGAAGAAGGCUUUCGGGUUGUAAACUUCUUUUAAGAGGGAAGAGUAGAAGACGGUACCUCUAGAAUAAGCCACGGCUAACUACGUGCCAGCAGCCGCGGUAAUACGUAGGUGGCAAGCGUUGUCCGGAUUUACUGGGUGUAAAGGGCGUGCAGCCGGGUCUGCAAGUCAGAUGUGAAAUCCAUGGGCUCAACCCAUGAACUGCAUUUGAAACUGUAGAUCUUGAGUGUCGGAGGGGCAAUCGGAAUUCCUAGUGUAGCGGUGAAAUGCGUAGAUAUUAGGAGGAACACCAGUGGCGAAGGCGGAUUGCUGGACGAUAACUGACGGUGAGGCGCGAAAGUGUGGGGAGCAAACAGGAUUAGAUACCCUGGUAGUCCACACUGUAAACGAUGAAUACUAGGUGUGCGGGGACUGACCCCCUGCGUGCCG